AUAGCUAUGAAUGUUUCGGCCCAAAUAAAAACUCUGUUCUUAUCAGCUUAAUAUCUGAUAUGUUAGGCAAUGCCUAACUCAUGUAUUAAACUGAUUUUUGGACUUCGGCCAUGGGAUUGAAGCUUGCUUCGCCCUGGCCACAGGUUGUCUUGGUAUUGCACUACAUCCGAGUACAGCCCCUUCCCC